UACAGAGGUCCCAAGCGUUGUUCGGAUUCAUUGGGCGUAAAGGGUGUGUAGGUGGCGCCGUAAGUCGGGUGUGAAAUCUCGGGGCUUAACUCCGAAACUGCAUUCGAUACUGCGGUGCUUGAGGACUGGAGAGGAGACUGGAAUUCAUGGUGUAGCAGUGAAAUGCGUAGAUAUGCGGAGGAACACCGAUGGCGAAGGCAAUCCCCUGGGCCUGCACUGACGCUCAUGCACGAAAGCGUGGGGAGCAAACAGG
rnacentral:rRNA from 1 species